UCUGAGUACUACUACUUUGCUUGUGCGCUUGCGUGGUGAAUUGAAUGUAUAAUUUUUUUCUCCUGACUACUGUUUUCAUUUCCGAAUAAUGGUUUUAAAUGAACCAAAUUGCCUCUGUAAGGUAGUUGAUAUUUAUGUAGCUUCAAGCUUUCAUUUCUUGUGCCUGAGGAUAGUAGUUGUUUGUGUAGCUUCAAGGUUUAUUUUCUUUUGCUUGAUGAUAGCAGGGUUGAGUAGAUUAUUGCCACACCCUGAUAUGGUCGGCCGUCCUUGUAUUUUCAGGCUCUUGAAUAUUGUUGAUCGAGUCAAUGGAUGUUUCCUGGUUGCUCUUAUGGUGAGGAUCAGGUACUUCUCUUCGACGAUGAUGUCGCCAACACAGCAGAUGUAGCUUGCGGAUCCCACGGCAUGACUCAGAUGCUGACGAUGAACCGGACUACCCGUUGUAAUCUAAACACCUAAAGAAGGUUCCUAUACUCCUCCAUGUUGGUUAACAUUUGCUUCAGGAUGAUGUUCACGUCAGGGCAGGACUUGAGGGAGGGCGUGGUUGUUGGAGGACGCAACCGCCGCCAUCGCGGAACUCUAGGGUCAGGGGGUGGUCUGCAGUCAGCGAGGACCGGCAAGGCCGUGUCAAUCGUUCCCUACAUCACGGAUCAUCACAGAUAUUUACAUUCUGUUCGUUUUCUGAAUUUUUCUGUUCAUUUCUGUAUUUCCUGAUCGUUUGUAUGCUUCACCUGUCCUGAACAUCGUUUCUUGCAGCGAGGAGCGGCGCAAGGCCGUGCCCUAUAUCACCGAACAUCACAGCGAGGAGCGGCGCAAGGCCGUGCCCUACAUCACCGAACAUCACAGGUAUACAGAUACAAUGUGAGGGCGCUGGACGCACACUCAUUGAGAGGGACCUCUGCCAGAAAUCAGUCGACGCCAUUGCCCAGGUCAUGCUCCCAGCCUGCACCAAAAAUUCAUCCGCCGACGAGUGGGAUUGAUAUGCAGUAGGAUGUCCAUCUCAAGCAUUCUCGGGAUAAAUAGCCUAUGAAGUCAAGACCCUAGAUAUGGCCAAACUUCUCUCCAGGCCGCAUGGUGGAGAGAGGAUACUCAACUUUGGAGGACAGUGUCUCAAUGGCGAUCAACUGCGGAUUCUUAUUGAAGGACUGGCGACCAUACAAAUUUGUUAACAAUUUUCAGGGAAUAUGGUACCGCAUGAUGGAGGAUGGUAGAAAAUCAGAUCUAAGUUUGCACCAAAUGUGACUUUGCCUUUGUCAUAUGGAAAUGUCUCACGCCGACGCUAUAUCUAACACUAACAUUCGGCGACGUUUCGCGCCGUCACCCUCUUGGGAGCGUUGUCAUUGAGCUCGGGGGUCGUUGUUCGUGCCUCGGCGAGGUGUUAGGCUUGUUCUAGGCUCAUGUUGUAUCUUUUGAUCUACUUUGUAAGGGGACCUCUCCACUAUAUUGUAUCGUUCGCCCGUGUACUUUGUUUCGUUGCUUAAAGCAGGGCGAAAGCCUGUUCCGAGAGA